rnacentral:lncRNA from 1 species
CUGCUGUAUUUAAGUCUGUUUUGUAACAGAUAAAUGUUCAUAGGUUUCUUUUUUUUAUAGCAUGGAUAAACAAAGCAGAAAUGCUAACACGUAGGUCUCAAUUAUUAACAUUAGUUAAUGUAUUAAUUAACAUUGACCAAUAAUUUUUAACAGCAUUUACUAACCUUUGUUAACUGAAGUGAAUUUUGGCAAAUGCAGACACAUACGAUCCAUAUCAAAGACAAUAUUAGGGUAAGAGUGAGAGGUAGGGUAAGGGUGGUGGGUUGAGCAGUACAUUGCCGUAGGAGUAUUUCUCUGUAGUGAAAGGAUGACAGAAUUUGAAGUGGAUCGAUUUUGUGCAAGUAAGAAUAUUUGGAAAGCUUUCUUGGCCUAAAAAAGCUCAGAUUAUGGAAAUAGUAGAACAUUAUGAAACUGAUGAAGUGGAGGGUGAUUUUAGGAAGUCUGAGCUAAUUAAAAAGCUUUUAUUGUAUUUUGGUGAUGUACGGCGAGAGAGGACAUGAGGAGAGAACAUGAAGCCAUUCGGAAGAGAAAAGGGCAGGAGUUGGAAAAUGAUCGUGUGCGAUUGGAGCUGGAAUGUCAUCAAGUAAAUUAAAUAAAUAGACUGUGACAAAGGGAGCAUGAGAGAUUUCCACAAUCCAAUGAAUUAUGAACACAUAAAAGAAGAAGGACAAGAAAAAACAACAUGCCAAAAUGAAUCCAUCAGCCUAAACUGCAUUCAAAAGGUGAGUCAGAAGCAUGCAUAUUAGUAAACAUACUGCUAUUUGCUAAGAAGAAAAAAAUAUAUAACAGAUGCUAAAUGCAAAUUAUUGCUAACUAUAUUAUUGUAUAUAGUUUAUGGCAUAUACUAUUUGAAUACAAUAUAAUAUAAGAGGAAGGCUGUAGGACAUAAUUUAUUUAACAAUAAGUUCUUAACACCUCUGUGACAUUCUGAAAUUGUAAUGGAAAAGAAAAUGAAGAAAACAAUUGCAAUCACCAGUCCUGAAAAGCAUACACCCUAGAAUACAUUAUUUUUAUUGUUCUGUUGAAAGUCUCAACAGCUAAUUUUGUGGGAACAAAAUAUUUUCCAUUCCUUGCACAAAGGGUUUUGAUAGGAAAAGGGCAUUGUGCGCAUACCAUUUCUUUGUAACAUUUACAUCCAUGUCAGCAUGUUGAAAGCCCUCAGGCAAGUUUCUACUUUUAGAUACUCAAGCUGUUAAUACUGAUUCAAUAUGAAGAGAGAAUUCCAUGAAAAACAGAUUUUUUUUCUAUUCACCUAUGUCUUAAUGUUGAAAGCUCUUUGAGCUAUUUGAGUAGCAGCAAGUAAUAUACACAAGCUAC